rnacentral:lncRNA from 1 species
UAAGAAAUUUACCAAACUGCUGUGGAAGAUCUACAGCUUUUCAUAUAUGUUAUGUUUGCAAGUCAAAGAAUUUAUUUUUUAAAAGUUCUAAUAAUUCAAAGUUUAGACUAAAUAAAGUGUAGAAUAAACUUUAAUGAAGCAGAAACCUAAUGACACAAAAAUAGAAGACAUCUAGGGGUCAAUAUACGGUUUCUUUUUUUUUUUCUCACCUACAUUUAAUAAAUGAAUAACCUACCUAUAAUACCUAUCCUUAACUAAUAUGGUAUUUAUAUAUUAUGAUUUUUUUAUUAUCUUAAGAUUUUAUAAAUGAGAGGGAGUAUCUAGGCUACCAUCUCAUCAAAGGGUAUCAUUAUGGUUCUCCCUCUACCUGACCUAGAAAAAACAUUCCCAGUUGUCAAGCUUGAUAUGGAAAAUCACAAACAAAAAAUCAAAGAAAAUUUUUUAAAAAAUGGUGAUAAAAUUAUAAUCUAUCAAAAAAAAAAACGUAAUUAAAGACAACAACACCCAUCAAUUACCGCAUGGUGAUUAAUUUAUUGUGGUCGACAUGUUUCGCCAACAAGCGUGCGUCUUCA